rnacentral:rRNA from 1 species
UACAGAGGGGGCAAGCGUUGUUCGGAAUUACUGGGCGUAAAGGGCUCGUAGGUGGCCAACUAAGUCAGACGUGAAAUCCCUCGGCUUAACCGGGGAACUGCGUCUGAUACUGGAUGGCUUGAGUUCGGGAGAGGGAUGCGGAAUUCCAGGUGUAGCGGUGAAAUGCGUAGAUAUCUGGAGGAACACCGGUGGCGAAGGCGGCAUCCUGGACCGACACUGACGCUGAGGAGCGAAAGCCAGGGGAGCAAAGCGGG